AAUUAUUUAUAGUUGAAUUAUCUAUAGUUCAGUUAUAGAUAACUGGUAAAGUGAACAUGUUCUGAAUGAUGCUGACCUCAGCUCUGUAUCAUGUGACAUCACUGUGACAUCACUGUGACAUUUUAAAGUGAUGAACAUAGAAUCAUCUGUCUCCUGUUCACCUGUAUAAACACACACCUGUCUGUGAUCAUGUGACGUAAACGUGUUUCCUGUCUGCAGGCGUCCAAACAGGCUGAAAUCAGCAAACUACAGGAAGAGAUAGCAAAGCUGUCUGACAAGUUAAAGAAGAAACAGGAGAGUUUUCAGCGUCUGCAGGGAGAGAAGGAGGCUCUGUACAACGACAGCAGGUCACAACUACACUCAGUACUACUACUACUAC